AGUGAUGCAAAAAUAGUCAGAGAUUUCAGUUGUAAUAUUGGCACAUUUCUUGCAACACAUUGGCAUUUUCCAGAACUCUCAGGAAGCAGUUAAGGAAUUUUCACUAUUUAUCCUUGAGAGUUGGGUAAUUCCCUGGAAAAAAAUUUUGUCCCCAUGAGGUCACGAUGCGCUUUCUUCCUGCUGGCAGCUUUAGUCAUUUGUUUUCUUCACAGCCUGGGAACCACUUUAGCCUGUUCACGAAAAAAUAACAAUGAAAAGCAAAACCAAGCCUCAGCAGAAGAUAAUCAAGGCUGGUAUGAAGACGACGAGUAUAUUUAUGAAGAAAGAGCUCAAACUAUCCGGUCUCAGUCGGUCACAUCGUCCGUGGAUCUUAAGUGCACGGGUCAAUGGCACUACUCCAAACGUUUAGGCAGAUGCGCCCGUUGGGUAAAGUUUGCAAAAAAGACGGUCGGUUAAUUUUAAAAUAUACAUUUUCUUUAUCUUAGUACACACUUUGCAAAUAAAACUGACAUAAAAUUCCUAA